CAUGACUUGAACCGUCUGUGGAAGUAAAAUCAAACAAUGGAAUACCCAGGAUGGAAUAAUGACAAUAUUAUGGACAGGAUAGGUGGCUAUUCACCAUAUGGUGGAGAUGUUGAGUUGCGGAUGGGCACAACAAACAGAAUGUUAAACAAUUGCCAGUACAGU